GACAGAUCACAAUUUGAUAUUCACUGUAGACACUCAGUUUGAUUCUAUGUUCCAAUUUGCCUUCUAUGGCUGCAUUUCAUUGAGGAACUUAGGCGGGCUUGAUAUUCAUUUCUUAGACUUUGGAGUUUUCAAUAUUUUUCAGUAAAACUUAAUUUGACGAUACAGCGUAAUG